UCGCAACAGAACCCGAGACCACUGGAAACUUGCAGGUUUUAUUGCAAACUGGAAAUUCAAUCCAGGUUCAUCAAAGGAGUCCCCUGGGAUUUCAACCUUUUCCGCUGCUCACGUUCCUAUUAAAAGACAACAAAGAGGAUUUUGAUUGCUAUUCUUUCCUUGAGUAGAGAGUUCAAGCUUGAGAGGUAUGGGUGAGAUGCGCACGUGACCCCACUCCUCUUCCAGCUUCAUGAUGGUAUUCCUCAUCAGAACCAUAAGGGGAAAACUUCAUUUUGUGUCAUUGGGGAAGAUGCCAACAAGACUUAGGAAACUUCUGAGGACUUGCAGAGAUUGCGUCAAUCAUCAUGUGACAGACCACCCAUGUGUAAAAAGACGUAUGUCUGGUGGGAGCUGAUAUGGAACCUACAGAUGGGUUUACUGGCUUCAAAAAGCAGGU
rnacentral:lncRNA from 1 species